rnacentral:rRNA from 1 species
GAUGUGAAAUCCUAUGGCUUAACCAUAGAACUGCAUUGGAAACUGGUAACCUAGAGUAUGGGAGGGGGAGAUGGAAUUAGUGGUGUAGGGGUAAAAUCCGUAGAUAUCACUAGGAAUACCGAAAGCGAAGGCGAUCUGCUGGUACAUUACUGACGCUAAGAUACGAAAGCGUGGGGAGCAAACAGGAUUAGAUACCCUGGUAGUCCACGCCCUAAACGAUGAAUGCUAGUCGUCGGAACGCUUGUCGUUUCGGUGAUGCAGUUAACACAUUAAGCAUUCCGCCUGGGGAGUACGGUCGCAAGAUUAAAACUCAAAGGAAUAGACGGGGACCCGCACAAGUGGUGGAGCAUGUGGUUUAAUUCGAAGAUACGCGAAGAACCUUACCUAGCCUUGACAUUGAUUGAAUCUUUCAGAGAUGAGAGAGUGCCUUUCGAGGAACAUGAAAACAGGUGCUGCACGGCUGUCGUCAGCUCGUGUCGUGAGAUGUUGGGUUAAGUCCCGCAACGAGCGCAACCCUCGUCGUUAGUUGCUAACAGUUCGGCUGAGCACUCUAGCGAGACUGCCUUCGCAAGGAGGAGGAAGGUGAGGACGACGUCAAGUCAUCAUGGCCCUUAUGGCUAGGGCUACACACGUGCUACAAUGGGGCGUACAGGGAGUUGCGAUACCGCGAGGUGGAGCUAAUCUCAUAAAGCGUCUCUCAGUUCGGAUUGAUCUCUGCAACUCGAGAUCAUGAAGCUGGAAUCACUAGUAAUCGUAGAUCAGCAAUGCUACGGUGAAUACGUUCCCGGGUCUUGUACUCACCGCCCGUCACACCAUGGGAGUUGAUUUCACCCGAAAUCGGGAAGCGAACCUUCGGGACGCUACCGCUUACGGU